rnacentral:rRNA from 1 species
UCCGGAAACGGGCGCUUAAUACCGCAUACGUCCUACGGGAGAAAGUGGGGGAUCUUCGGACCUCACGCUAUCAGAUGAGCCUAGGUCGGAUUAGCUUAGUUGGUGAGGUAAUGGCUCACCAAGGCUACGAUCCGUAACUGGUCUGAGAGGAUGAUCAGUCACACUGGAACUGAGACACGGUCCAGACUCCUACGGGAGGCAGCAGUGGGGAAUAUUGGACAAUGGGCGAAAGCCUGAUCCAGCCAUGCCGCGUGUGUGAAGAAGGUCUUCGGAUUGUAAAGCACUUUAAGUUGGGAGGAAGGGUACUUACCUAAUACGUGAGUAUUUUGACGUUACCGACAGAAUAAGCACCGGCUAACUCUGUGCCAGCAGCCGCGGUAAUACAGAGGGUGCAAGCGUUAAUCGGAAUUACUGGGCGUAAAGCGCAGCGUAGGUGGUUUGUUAAGUUGGAUGUGAAAGCCCCGGGCUCAACCUGGGAACUGCAUCCAAAACUGGCAAGCUAGAGUAUGGUAGAGGGUGGUGGAAUUUCCUGUGUAGCGGUGAAAUGCGUAGAUAUAGGAAGGAACACCAGGGCGAAGGCGACCACCUGGACUGAUACUG